AGCUUGCUUUCAGAUCCUCUGUCUCCCUCUCCCCUGCUCACACACUCUCUUUCUAAAAAAUAAAGAAAUAUUUAAAAGAAAAAAUGCUAUAGAUUUGUAAACAUCAUUAUGGCUGUCGUGUUUCUCUUUUGGCAAUCAAACCCUGAAUUCAUGUUUAGUGCAAGACCAUAAACUACUAAACAUCGCUGAAGGAAUUUAAAUAAGAUAUGUAUAAGAGAUACACUGUGUAUAUGGGUUUGAAGAUUCAGUACAUUAAGAUGUAUAUGUUUCUCAAAUUGAUCUAUAGGCUUAAUGAAAUCAUGUUAAAAUCUUAUCAGGCUCUUUUAUAGAAGCAGAAAACAUAUUUGAAAUGUAAUAUUGAAAUGCAAAAGACAGUAUGGCUAAAACACACUAAAACAAAAAAGGAUUUAUAAGACUUAUACUGUCUGUUGUCAAUCUUAUUAUAAAGCUGCAAUAUUCAAGGGAGUAACAUAAUAUGUUGAGGUAGACAAAUAGAUCAAUGCAAAAUAAUAAAUUUGAGAAAUAGACCCAUGUAUUCGUGGUCAAGUGAUAUUUUUACAAAGGUGCUAAGGUAAUUUUAUAAAGGAUAAUCUUUACAAAAAGUGAUCUUGAUAAAUUGGAUACAUAAAAAAUGAACUUCAGCAGAUAUUCUGUACCACAUACAAAAGUUAACUCAAAAUGGUCACUGAUUUAAAUGUAUUGUUAUUUUAAAUUAUAAAAUAUCUCUAAGUGAACAUAAUAAAGAUCUUUGUGACCUUGUUCCCUCUCAGUGAAUGUCCUCUCUUGCAACUGAUUUAUGUAGUAUUAUUCUUUCCUUCCAGGUCAGACUUAAUACACACUUUAUGAGGGAAAGGCAUAAAAGGGACCAUUCUUCCCCUUUUCCACCCUCCAUGCUACUGGUGUGAUGUAGAAAGAAUGGGUAUGAUUAAUAUUGGAAGAAAUCAUAAGCCAGAAGUGUAAUGAUUGUAGUCUAAAGAAUUCAAGAGAAUCCAUGGCUGGAAACAUGUUCUAUGUUUACACAAUAAAAUUCUGAACGCAAAUUUACUACAACCAUGAAAUUAAAGGUUGUAGCCACUUGCCUACAUAUUCUGGGUGAGACUUGCCUUUGUGGCCAUCAUCUAUGGAACAUGAUAACAACAGUUGGCAUGUCACUGAGAACAAGUAUGUAUGAGGGUGUGUUGUAUGAUGCAGCAUCAUGAGCAACGAUGUCGCUGGCAAUGAAUAAGUGGUGUUAUGAAGCAGCAAAGGAAGAUGAUCUCUAUUGGUUCAUGUAUAUUGAUCCUCAAGGGCCAUGCAUCUGCAGACUGAUGAUUAUUCAUUCACUAAGAGGCAAUUUGGUACCUGGAAUGAGAUGACACUGGAAAUUACUUGUGAGACAGAGAUAUUCGAAUGAGGUGAAUCUGAGACAUGCACAGGCUAAGAGACUGAGAAGUAACCUCACUUCUGACCUCACUUCUGUGUUAAUGUCGUAUUGUUAUGGACAUGAACAAGAUAAGUAUUGAAAUGCUCAGAACUAAAUAAUUCAAAUCCAAAAGGAUUUCCACCUCUAAGUCAAUAAAAUAUCAUGUUUCUAAUGAUCUCAGCAAAUGCCAGUUAAUCAUACUGGCAACCAGUGAUAGCCACAGUGGAUAUUAUUCUUCAGAAUGUCAAGACUUAAUAGACCUAACAAUAAUGAAAGUGAUCAAUUUGGCUUUCUCAUGUAUCUCUUUAAUUUUAUGUCAGUAACUGUAAUAGUAAAAAAUUGGGAAAUUAAAAUGAACACGCAAUUUG